GCGCCGUCGCGUGACUGGCGCAACGGUGGAGCACCACGGGGAAGCGCGACAGGUUCGACGCCGCGCGCCUGGGCACCCUUC
rnacentral:ncRNA from 2 species